GAAAUAUAGCCAUAUUAGAGCUACACUGUACAGCUGGCAAUCCCUUUCUUCUCAUUAUGUAAAAGCUAUACACAUUAAAUGGUAAUACAUAUAGGACCAAAAUCUUCUAAGAAGCAAAUAGUCUAUAGUAAAGAUAGUGUUACUCGUAUAUUUGUAGUAACAUUGUUAAGUUGAUUGAGACGAGCAGCUUAUGGGAGUCAUGCUCAAAGGCAUGAAAGGAUUCAUACAGAAAUGAACCCCCUUGGAAUUAUUCAAUUUGUUGAAGCCUUUGCUCAACAUCGUCUCCAACUUCGUAAAAGAGCACAAACUGGAAAGAAACUCUAUGAAUGGAAGCAAUGUGGUAAAGCCUUUGAAGAUCACAGUCAUCUUAAAAGCUAUGAAGGAAUUCAUACGGGAGAGAAACCUUAUGAAUGUCAUCAGUGUGAAAAAGCCUUUUCAAGUCACAGUAAUCUCCUACAACCUAAAGGAACACAUACUGGAGAGAAAUGCUAUGAAUGUGAUCUGUGUGGUAAAGCCUUUUCACAACAUAGUCGGCUUAAAAGGCAUGGAAGAAUUCAUACUGGAGAGAAACCCUACAGAUGUAAUAACUGUGAGAAAGCCUUUUCACAACAUAUUCACCUCCAGUCACAUAGAAGAAUUCCUACUGGAGAGAAACCCUACAAAUGUAAUAAAUGUGAGAAAGCCUUUUUACAACACUAUAACCUCCAAAGACAUAAAAGAAUACAUAUUGGAAAGAAACCCAAUGAAUGUGGUCUAUGUGUGAAAGCCUGUAUAAGUCACAGGUAUCUUCAAAAGCAUAAAUAAAUAUUCAUACUUGUGA
rnacentral:lncRNA from 1 species